rnacentral:lncRNA from 1 species
CUUAACAACCACAUACUACACUAACUAAUUAAAUAAAAAUAUAAAAUAACAACUUAUUUAUAAAACUUGAAUCCCACGAUCACAGCCAUGCAUGAACAUGUAAUGGUGACAUGGAUUAAGCUGGAUCAUUAACGGUGCACCAAGGUGGUCGCCACUCGGUUCUCCCAGCAGCAUUCGGAGCAGUUUUAAUGUAGCUCCACGGUGGCCGCCAGUCACGGUUUGGGGUUGCUCCAUUUAUUUGUGUCACUUGCUCUGUUGUCGUACUCGUAUACACGACCUUUCUCAGCCCAGAAGAAACCAUUGAUGCCUGAAUCAGAGAUGGGGUAGGUUUUGGUUUGGAUGACGGCUCGGUCGUAGUGGCUUUUUGCGGUGAUGCCGGUACGGGUUUUGAAGUCAAUGGGGUUGGUAUAGAACAGUGGUUAUUGGAGGUGGGGCGGCGGAAGUUUUUUUUCGGUGGUUGAUUGGUGACAGAAACUUGUUUUGGUGUCAUGGAGGAAACAACUGGUGGUGGAGGUGAUGGUACGGGAACGGAAAUGGGUAUUGGUUUGGCUGCCAAAACAGGUGAUGCGGUGACGGAAACGGGCGGUGGAGAUGGUGGUGAUGAGUUUUGGGUUUGGGGGGUUUCCCACGCGGUUUGGAGCGAUCGAAAUUCGUUAAAGACAGUUUGCAACUGAGAUUCAAGCUUUACAAGGGAUUCAUUCAUCCAUUGAUAAAACUCGGCUUCGGAUAGAGCGUGAGCAACCAUGGUCCGAGGGGGAUCACGACAGCUCUGAUACC